rnacentral:rRNA from 1 species
GCGAGAAUAUUCGACAAUGGACGAAAGCCUGAUGGAGCGACGUCGCGUGAUGGACGAAGUGCUUCGGCACGUAAACAUCUUUUAUGUGGGAUGAAAUUAUUGACAGUACCACAUGAAUAAGGGGCUCCUAACUCUGUGCCAGCAGGAGCGGUAAUACAGAGGCCCCAAGCGUUAUCCGGAAUCACUGGGCGUAAAGGGUGUCGAGGCGGUUGUAUUAGUCGUUCGUAAAAUCUACGAGCUUAACUUGUAGGCGGCGAACGAAACGGUACGACUUGAGGUUUGGAGAGGUGCGUGGAACUCACGGUGUAGGGGUGAAAUCCGUUGAUAUCGUGGGGAACACCAAAGGCGAAGGCAGCGCACUGGCCAAAAUCUGACGCUCACACACGAAAGCUAGGGUAGCGAAGAGGAUUAGAUACCCCAGUAGUCCCUGAGCGGGCUGGCAAGGCGCAU